AGAGUUUGAUCCUGGCUCAGAAUCAACGCUGGCGGCGUGCCUAACACAUGCAAGUCGAACGAGAAAGUGGAGCAAUCCAUGAGUAAAGUGGCGCACGGGUGAGUAACACGUGACUAACCUACCCUUGAGUGGGGGAUAACCUCGGGAAACCGGGGCUAAUACCGCAUAAUACCUACGGGUCAAAGGAGCAAUUCGCUUUAGGAGGGGGUCGCGGCAGAUUAGUUAGUUGGCGGGGUAAUGGCCCACCAAGACGGUGAUCUGUAUCCGGCCUGAGAGGGCGCACGGACACACUGGAACUGAAACACGGUCCAGACUCCUACGGGAGGCAGCAGUGGGGAAUUUUGCGCAAUGGGGGAAACCCUGACGCAGCAACGCCGCGUGGAGGAUGAAGUCCCUUGGGACGUAAACUCCUUUCGAUCGGGACGAUUAUGACGGUACCGGAAGAAGAAGCCCCGGCUAACUUCGUGCCAGCAGCCGCGGUAAUACGAGGGGGGCGAGCGUUGUUCGGAAUUAUUGGGCGUAAAGGGCGCGUAGGCGGUCGGAUAAGUCUUGUGUGAAAUCUUCGGGCUCAACUCGAAGUCUGCACAGGAAACUAUCCGGCUUGAGUGUGGGAGAGGUGAGUGGAAUUCCUGGUGUAGCGGUGAAAUGCGUAGAUAUCAGGAGGAACACCUGUGGCGAAAGCGGCUCACUGGACCACAACUGACGCUGAGGCGCGAAAGCUAGGGGAGCAAACAGGAUUAGAUACCCCCGUAGUCC
rnacentral:rRNA from 1 species